GAUGAACGCUGACAGAAUGCUUAACACAUGCAAGUCUUUGGCGAAGCUGUGCUCGCACAGCCUAGCCAGGGCGGACGGGUGAGUAACGCGUAAGGAACUUGCCCUGCAGUCAGGGAUAACAGACGGAAACGACUGAUAAGACCUGGUAAAGUCAGGCGGACUCAUGUCCAGCCUGAUGAAAAGAGAUGCUGCAGGAGAGCCUUGCGUCCUAUUAGCUUGUUGGUGGGGUAACGGCCCACCAAGGCGAUGAUAGGUAGCCGGCCUGAGAGGGUGGACGGCCACAAGGGGACUGAGAUACGGCCCUUACUCCUACGGGAGGCAGCAGUGGGGAAUAUUGGACAAUGGGGGCAACCCUGAUCCAGCAAUUCUGUGUGCACGAUGAAGGUUUUCGGAUUGUAAAGUGCUUUCAGCAGGGAAGAAAAAAAUGACGGUACCUGCAGAAGAAGCGACGGCUAAAUACGUG
rnacentral:rRNA from 1 species